rnacentral:rRNA from 1 species
CCAAAUAUUCCUGUACCGAUAUGUAGUGCGAUGUGGGGACGGAGAAGGUUAACUCGGCCGGGUGUUGGAUGUCCCGGUUCAAGCGUGUAGUCGUGCUGCCUAGGCAAAUCCGGGCGGCUUAGAUGAGGCGUGAUAACGAGGCGGCUUGCCGCUGAAGUGAGUGAUACCCUGCUUCCAGGAAAAGCCACUAAGCUCUAGCUACAUACGACCGUACCGCAAACCGACACUGGUGCGCGAGAUGAGUAUUCUAAGGCGCUUGAGAGAACUCUGGAGAAGGAACUCGGCAAAUUGACACCGUAACUUCGGAAGAAGGUGUGCCUUUAGUAGGUGAUCCAUUUACUUGGUGAGCCCAAUGAGGCCGCAGAGAAUCGGUGGCUGCGACUGUUUAUUAAAAACACAGCACUCUGCAAAGACGAAAGUCGACGUAUAGGGUGUGACGCCUGCCCGGUGCUGGAAGAUUAAAUGAAGGGGUGCAAGCUCUUGACUGAAGUCCCAGUAAACGGCGGCCGUAACAAUAACGGUCCUAAGGUAGCGAAAUUCCUUGUCGGGUAAGUUCCGACCUGCACGAAUGGCGUAACGAUGGCCACACUGUCUCCUCCAGAGACUCAGCGAAGUUGAAAUGUUUGUGAUGAUGCAAUCUCCCCGCGGAAAGACGGAAAGACCCCAUGAACCUUUACUGUAGCUUUACAUUGGACUUUGAACAGAUCUGUGUAGGAUAGGUGGGAGGCUUUGAAGCGGUGCCGCUAGGUGCCGUGGAGCCAACGUUGAAAUACCACCCUGGUGUGUUUGAGGUUCUAACCUUGGCCCGUUAUCCGGGUUGGGGACAGUGUAUGGUGGGCAGUUUGACUGGGGCGGUCUCCUCCCAAAUCGUGACGGAGGAGUUCGAAGGUACGCUAGGCACGGUCGGAAAUCGUGCUGAUAGUGCAUUGGCAUAAGCGUGCUUGACUGCGAGACUGACAAGUCGAGCAGGUACGAAAGUAGGACAAAGUGAUCCGGUGGUUCUGUAUGGAAGGGCCAUCGCUCAACCGAUAAAAGGUACUCUGGGCAUAACAGGCUGAUACCGCCCAAGAGUUCAUAUCGACGGCGGUGUUUGGCACCUCGAUGUCGGCUCAUCUCAUCCUGGGGCUGUAGCCGGUCCCAAGGGUAUGGCUGUUCGCCAUUUAAAGAGGUACGUGAGCUGGGUUUAAAACGUCGUGAGACAGUUUGGUCCCUAUCUUCCGUGGGCGCUGCAAGAUUGAGAGAGCCUGCUCCUAGUACGAGAGGACCGGAGUGGACGCACCUCUGGUGUAUCGGUUGUCACGCCAGUGGCAUUGCCGAGUAGCUAUGUGCGGAAGAGAUAACCGCUGAAAGCAUCUAAGCGGGAAACUCGUCUCAAGAUGAGUCUUGCCGGGGCCUCGAGCCCCCUGAAGAGUCGUUCUAGACCAGGACGUUGAUAGGCUGGGUGUGGAAGCUGGGUAACCAGUUAAGCUAACCAGUACUAAUUGCUCGUGCGGCUUGACCCU